UCGGGAUACCAAAUAAUAUUCAGU
rnacentral:siRNA from 1 species